rnacentral:rRNA from 1 species
UACAGAGGUCUCAAGCGUGGUUCGGAUUCAUUGGGCGUAAAGGGUGCGUAGGCGGCGCGGUAAGUCGGCUGUGAAAUCUCGGAGCUUAACUCCGAAACUGCAUUCGAUACUGCCGUGCUUGAGGACUGGAGAGGAGACUGGAAUUUACGGUGUAGCGGUGAAAUGCGUAGAUAUCGUAAGGAAGACCAGUGGCGAAGGCGGGUCUCUGGACAGUUCCUGACGCUGAGGCACGAAGGCCAGGGGAGCAAACGGG